rnacentral:rRNA from 1 species
GACGAACGCUGGCGGCGUGCCUAACACAUGCAAGUCGAACGGAGUUAAGACUUCGGUUUUAACUUAGUGGCGAACGGGUGAGUAACGCGUGAGAAACCUGCCUUUCAGUGGGGGACAACAGUUGGAAACGACUGCUAAUACCGCAUAAUGUAUUUUGACCGCAUGAUCGAAAUACCAAAGCUUUAUGUGCUGAAAGAUGGUCUCGCGUCUGAUUAGCUAGUUGGUGAGGUAACGGCUCACCAAGGCGACGAUCAGUAGCCGGUCUGAGAGGAUGAACGGCCACAUUGGGACUGAGAUACGGCCCAGACUCCUACGGGAGGCAGCAGUGGGGAAUAUUGGGCAAUGGGGGAAACCCUGACCCAGCAACGCCGCGUGAAGGAAGAAGGCCUUCGGGUUGUAAACUUCUUUACCAGGGACGAAGAACGUGACGGUACCUGGAGAAAAGACAACGGCUAACUACGUG